rnacentral:rRNA from 1 species
GACGAACGCUGGCGGCGUGCUUAACACAUGCAAGUCGAACGGAAAGGCCCUGCUUUUGUGGGGUGCUCGAGUGGCGAACGGGUGAGUAACACGUGAGUAACCUGCCCUUGACUUUGGGGUAACUUCAGGAAACUGGGGCUAAUACCGGAUAGGAGCUCCUGCUGCAUGGUGGGGGUUGGAAAGUUUCGGCGGUUGGGGAUGGACUCGCGGCUUAUCAGCUUGUUGGUGGGGUAGUGGCUUACCAAGGCUUUGACGGGUAGCCGGCCUGGGAGGGUGGCCGGCCACAUUGGGACUGAGAUACGCCCCAGACGCCUACGGGAGGCAGCAGUGGGGAAUAUUGCACAAUGGGCGGAAGCCUGAUGCAGCAACGCCGCGUGCGGGAUGACGGCCUUCGGGUUGUAAACCGCUUUCGCCUGUGACGAAGCGUGAGUGACGGUAAUGGGUAAAGAAGCACCGGCUAACUACGUG